CCUACGGGAUGCAGCAGUGAGGAAUAUUGGUCAAUGGACGAGAGUCUGAACCAGCCAAGUAGCGUGAAGGAUGACUGCCCUAUGGGUUGUAAACUUCUUUUAUAUGGGAAUAAAAUGUUCCACGUGUGGGAUUUUGUAUGUACCAUAUGAAUAAGGAUCGGCUAACUCCGUGCCAGCAGCCGCGGUAAUACGUAGGAUCCGAGCGUUAUCCGGAUUUAUUGGGUUUAAAGGGAGCGUAGGUGGAUUGUUAAGUCAGUUGUGAAAGUUUGCGGCUCAACCGUAAAAUUGCAGUUGAAACUGGCAGUCUUGAGUACAGUAGAGGUGGGCGGAAUUCGUGGUGUAGCGGUGAAAUGCUUAGAUAUCACGAAGAACUCCGAUUGCGAAGGCAGUUCACUGGACUGCAACUGACACUGAGGCUCGAAAGUGUGGGUAUCAAACAGGAUUAGAUACCCUUGUAGUC
rnacentral:rRNA from 1 species